AGAUUAAGUUAUUAAGGGCGCACGGUGGAUGCCUUGGCACUAGAAGCCGAUGAAGGACGUUACUAACGACGAUAUGCUUUGGGGAGCUGUAAGUAAGCUUUGAUCCAGAGAUUUCCGAAUGGGGGAACCCAGCACGAGUUAUGUCGUGUUAUCCGCAUAUGAAUUCAUAGUAUGUGAGAAGGUAGACCCGGAGAACUGAAACAUCUUAGUACCCGGAGGAAGAGAAAGAAAAAUCGAUUCCCUGAGUAGCGGCGAGCGAAACGGGAAGAGCCCAAACCAACAAGCUUGCUUGUUGGGGUUGUAGGACACUCUAUACGGAGUUACAAAAGUAUUUGUUAGACGAAUAACCUGGAAAGGUUAAUCAGAGAAGGUAAUAAUCCUGUAGUCGAAAACGAAUACCCUCUUGAGUGGAUCCUGAGUACGACGGAGCACGUGAAAUUCCG
rnacentral:rRNA from 1 species